rnacentral:rRNA from 1 species
AUUGAACGCUGGCGGCAGGCUUAACACAUGCAAGUCGAGCGAGCGGCGGACGGGUGAGUAAUGUCUGGGAAACUGCCUGAUGGAGGGGGAUCACUACUGGAAAAGGUCGCUAAUACCGCAUACCAUCAGAUGUGCCCAGCUGGGAUUAGCUAGUAGGUGGGGUAAUGGCGCACCUAGGCGACGAUACCUAGCUGGUCUGUGAGGAUGACCAGCCACACUGGAACUGAGACACGGUCCAGACUCCUACGGGAGGUAUCAGUGGUGAAUAUUGCACCAUGGGCGCAAGCCUUAUGCAGCCAUUCCGCGUGUGUGAAGAAGGCCUUCGGGUUUUAAAGCACUUUCAUCGCGGAGGCGUUACUCGCAGAAGAAGCACCGGCUAACUCCGUGCCAGCAGCCGCGGUAAUAC